UAAAGCUAAAUACUAGUUUCUUCGAAAAACAUGUAGCCUAGCAUACUUGUAUACAACUAAAUAAAAUAAAUGAUUAGUAAUUAGUUAUUAAAACUUAUGUUCACAACUGUGUUAAAAAAUAGGCAGAAAAAAAAUAUAGCAGAGCUAAUAAUUCUGACUUCAACUCUACGACGCUAAUGUCCUGCUGGUUCCUCUAUCCCCAUGAGAGGGCGCUGUCCCCCAGCAUCCCACUGACCCGGGGCGGCUGUGAAUAACAGAGACUCUGCCCUUGCGUGAAGUGAAUUUAUCUUCCGCUGUCUCCCUUCAUGUUCAUUCAGCCAAAAGGCGCGUUUGAUUAAAUCUCCAAUCGUUUGUCAUCAUCUCCAGCCCCUUGACGCUGAAAGAAACACCUUCCCGGCUGCCGUAUUAAUGCGAGUUCCUCAAAAGCGUCCUGGCCUUUAUGAAAAACAUCCCGAGAUUCAUCAAGGACGCGUGUCAUGUGCUGUGGUAAUGAGGAGGGUCUUUUUAUUUGCACAGUCUCCCUCCUUCCCCGCUUGCCUCGAUAUUAAUUAACUCCUCGGCCACGUGCAUUAGAAACAGGUCAGUGAUUCCUGCUCUUAAUUGUGGCGGUAGAGAGCAGGGGUGAGGAGGCUGUACGGGCCACGCGGCUGUGUUUUAAUGGGGAGAUGCGCUAUAAUAACUCUGACCUCUGACCUUUUGUGGUGACUAAAGCUCAUUACGCUGAUCUGUGAGUGUCAGAGCAUCAUCUGAGAGCGUGUGUGUGCUCGGUAAGGGCUCUUCUUCACAGUGCAUUAUUGAUCUAACGGGAGCUGAAUAAAACAUGGGCACAUGUCCAUUGUCAGCGAAUGCACAGAGAAUAGCUCAACAUACGAGGAGGAGGAAUCCUGUGAACUCUAGCUGAGGCUGAGAGGUAUGAAAACUCCACUUCCAAACGCCGCUGACCGACAGUAAUGCCACAGAACUCCAGCACUGCAGAAGAGGCCUGUAGGCGUGACAUGACAUGACGACACUGAACUUAAACCCAGAUUGCGAAGAGUGAGAGUUUGCAGAAGAGCAUCAUUGUGUGGAGCAGCUGAGCAGAGAUCAGCCAAGCAGAGGACAAGCCAUGCCGGCUCAUUUGCAUUCGAUGGUGCGCCUAAUAUAUGCAGGGUAAUUGGCGGAGGUGGAGAUGCAGAUGUGCAGGGGUCUGCUGGAGAGUCAGUGGUGUGUUGGAGAAGAGGACGAACAGUGGCUGCUGGUCCAUAAAGAGCGGGAGAGGCAGGCAGUGAGCGGUAAUCCAGCCGAGGAGCAGGUCUGGAGGUCUAAUCCCCCCUCAGAACAGCCCUGCCUGGGGCAAACAGACAGAUAAUCCUGCCUCUGGAGACCUCAGACACUGCUGACUUACACUCGCUCGCUCUCGCUCUCUCUUGACAGAUCUUUCUGUCUUUCUCUCUGUCUGUCUAUCGCUCUGUCUAUCUGUCCUUUUAUAUCACUUUGUAUUUUCUUCACAUCUAUAAAUGCAGUAUUGAAAAAUAUGAGGAGAAAUAUUAUAACAAUGAAAAUUUAAAAU